rnacentral:rRNA from 1 species
GUCUACAGCCAUACCACUCUGAACGUGCCCGAUCUUGUCUGAUCUCGGAAGCUACGCAGGGUCGGGCCUGGUUAGUACUUGGGAGAUCCUAACUUAUAAGCU